GUUCCCCUUCGGGGGACAGGGUGACAGGUGGUGCAUGGUUGUCGUCAGCUCGUGUCGUGAGAUGUUGGGUUUAAGUCCCGCAACGAGCGCAACCCUCGACCUUAGUUGCCAGCAUUCAGUUGGGCACUCUAAGGUGACUGCCGGCUAAAAGUCGGAGGAAGUGGGGAUGACGUCAAAUCAUCAUGCCCCUUAUGACCUGGGCUACACACGUGCUACAAUGGGCGGUACAAAGGGUCGCGAACCCGCGAGGGGGAGCCAAUCCCAAAAAGCCGCUCUCAGUUCGGAUUGCAGGCUGCAACUCGCCUGCAUGAAGCCGGAAUCGCUAGUAAUCGCGGAUCAGCAUGCCGCGGUCGAAUACGUUCCCGGGCCUU
rnacentral:rRNA from 1 species